rnacentral:lncRNA from 1 species
GGGUGAAGUGUGGGUGUGCGACGCUAGGAAAGAUCAGGAAGGGUAAACCCCUUUUUCUUCUCUAGUUCCUCAAAUCUCUAACAAAUUGAAGGUGUUUCUGGGCAUAAAUCGAAUGCAUGUGACCAAGUUUUCAACCAUCUAAGGGUUUCCUACAUAGGAAUGACUAAGAUAUUAGUGAAAGAAGAAGGAGCUAAUUCCGGUUCGCAACAAAAGGCUCAAGAACGAGGUAAAUCCUUGACUUCAUAGCUUGGCGACUCGGAACGAACACACUCGAUAUCACGCCCAUCUAGCGCUUCCGAAGAUGUCACAUUAGUAUGGUCUUAGUUUUGGUCAUAUGUAUUUUAACAUAUGUAAUCUUUUUGGUGUCCUUGUGAAUUGGGUAAAAAAUUGGUUAGUAAGUAGCUAUUGUAUUAAAACAACUUAAACAUGUUGGUUUUGCUUUAGUUUAUGAAAAUGGGUCUUU